GCAGCCUUUGUUUCGUUUGCUGUCUGCCUGUUGCCACAUGGCCACCUUAAGGCCUACUGUCAGCUUGUAUCCUGGUCCACCUGGUGUUCCUUUGGCCAAAUGUGAUGCCUGAAGUCCUGUUAACCUGGAGGGAUGUGUGUUGGUCCUUAGUACUUUAGUAUUAAUCAUACUGAGUAGUGUGGAGUUGGAGCCAGCUAGUGGUGGAGGCACACAGUCUGAUUCCCUUCAUGGCUUGUAGUGGUAGGAGCACUGGGACACAGUUUGUAGUGAGUUUUGAUUUGCAGUGAGUUUUGGUUUGCAGUGAGCACCGGUGGUGGGUAAGUGGGACACAGCCCUGUUAGACUGCCUCCCCCUGGCUGGCAUCUGCCCACUCCCCUUUUCCCCUCAUUGAUUUGAGUCAUUUUCUAUAUAAAGUGUUUUUUAUCAAGAAUAAACAAAUACA